rnacentral:rRNA from 1 species
AUUGAACGCUGGCGGCAGGCCUAACACAUGCAAGUCGAACGCGUCGCGUACUGGUGAUUUAUUUCUGCGAACCUGCCCGCUGGAUGGGUAUCACUUCUGGAAACUGUAGCUAAUACCGCUUACCUUCCUCUGUUCCCAGAUUGGAUUAGCUAGUAGGUGGGGUAACGGCUCACCUAGGCGACCAUCCCUAUCUGGUCUGAGAGGAUGACCAGCCACACUGGAACUGAGAAACGGUCCAGACGCCUACGGGAGGCAGGAGUGGGGAAUAUUGCACAAUGGGCGAAAGCCUGAUGCAGCCAUGAGGCGUGUAUGAAGAAGGCCUUCGGGUUGUAAAGUACUUUCAGCGAGGAGGCGGUAGGCGAAGAAGAAGGAACGGCUAACGCCGUGCCAGCAGCCGCGGUAAUAG